AUGGCUCUUAAACACAUUCCAAUAUGUUCAAGAGGUCUUGGAGUGGUGGCACUAUGGAGGGGUUACUAGUUUUGUGUAGUCAAGAGUUUUUCUUGCUUCAUGCGGCGUUUUCCCUGUUAUUAUGCCUUAAACCAUUUCGAGUCUCGUUUCCACGCAUUGAGGAAUAAGCUCAAGCAGCCUAUAUUAGGACAUACCACGCCCUUUUCGCUAACACCGACUGAUUUUCCACAGUUCGUAGUUUGAUAGUAGAUGGGCGGAAAUCU
rnacentral:snoRNA from 1 species